UACGGGGGGGGCAAGCGUUGUUCGGAAUUACUGGGCGUAAAGGGCUCGUAGGCGGCCAACUAAGUCCGACGUGAAAUCCCCAGGCUUAACCUGGGAACUGCGUCGGAUACUGGCAGGCUUGAAUCCGGGAGAGGGAUGUGGAAUUCCAGGUGUAGCGGUGAAAUGCGUAGAUAUCUGGAGGAACACCGGUGGCGAAGGCGGCAUCCUGGACCGGCAUUGACGCUGAGGCGCGAAAGCCAGGGGAGCAAACGGG
rnacentral:rRNA from 1 species